AAAACACCCUCAAGGAUGGGCACUGCACAGACUGUAACAACAAGGAACGUGGCUUUGCAUCCUCCCAGCAACAAAGUCUACCACGGAUCCCACCCCACUCUGAUUUCGGCUCAGCCGAGAACUUGAAAUAACGGGCCCACUGCCUCUGCUCCACGAGGAUCCAUGCCAUCAUGGCACUUUGGGAGGCCUGUCACGAGUUACACAGGCCUAGGCUGCCCACACCCCAGCUCAGCAGAAAAAGAGAACUGCAAUCCAAGUCAGACAGAUCCUGCCUGGACUCUCCGCAGAGAGCCUGGAGAGUCUGACCAGCAAAGAAACAGCAAUCUUCCUACCUACCCCACUCUCAAUCCCCCCCACCCCAAUCCAGGCUCCCGAAGAAGAAAAACAAACAACAACAGAGCAGG
rnacentral:lncRNA from 1 species